rnacentral:rRNA from 1 species
UACGCCGAGUUGAGAGACUGAUCGGCCACAUUGGGGACUGAGACACGGCCCAAACUCCUACGGGAGGCAGCAGUAGGGAAUCUUCCACAAUGGACGCAAGUCUGAUGGAGCAACGCCGCGUGAGUGAAGAAGGUUUUCGGAUCGUAAAAGCUCUGUUGUUGGUGAAGAAGGAUAGAGGUAGUAACUGGCCUUUAUUUGACGGUAAUCAACCAGAAAGUCACGGCUAACUACGUGCCAGCAGCCGCGGUAAU